AGAAUGAAUUCCUAAGUUAGCGCUGUUUGGAUGCACGAUUUUGUACUCAAGACAUUGACAUGAAGCCCCAAAUACUUCUCAGAAAAGGCAAUGCAUUGGCUUAGGUGAGAGCAGCCCUUCUCCAACCAAGGUUCAAAACCUCUGACCAAGAAGAGCAGACAGGGGGCGCAACUGGACAAUCUGGUUGUCUCAACUGUGAAACCUAGAGAAUUGUGGGACUUGUAGUUUUUCUUGCACUGUUUAGGCUUGGUAAACUACAUUUCCCAAAAUGCAAAUGUAGCCAGUCAGUGCCACCAUCGGACUUGGAAGCGUCCUUAAAGCUGUGAAAGAAUGAACUUUGGGUUGACUUUCAGGGCAGCGAAAGGCUGCUGGAUGGUGAAGUUCAGCCAACAGUGCUCACAUGGAUCCAUUGGGUUAUUUGUGCCACCAAGUCCCCCCGUGGACCCUGAGAAGGUCAAAGAGUUACAGCGCUUCGUCACCCUUUCCAAGAGACUCCUAGUGAUGACUGGGGCAGGAAUCUCCACUGAGUCAGGGAUCCCAGACUACAGGUCAGAAAAGGUGGGACUUUAUGCACGCACUGACCGAAGGCCCAUCCAGCACAGGGAUUUUGUACGGAGUGCUUCAGUCCGCCAGCGGUACUGGGCAAGAAACUUUGUGGGCUGGCCUCAGUUCUCUUCUCAUCAGCCCAAUCCUGCACACUGGGCCUUGAGCAACUGGGAGAGACUCGGAAAGCUGUACUGGUUGGUGACCCAAAAUGUGGAUGCCUUGCACACCAAGGCGGGGAGUCAGCGCCUAACAGAGCUCCACGGAUGCAUGCACAGGGUCCUCUGCUUGGAUUGUGGUGAACAGACUCCCCGUGGGGUGCUGCAGGAGCGUUUUGAAGUCCUGAACCCCACCUGGAGUGCUGAGGCCCAUGGCCUGGCUCCUGAUGGCGACGUGUUUCUCACAGAGGAGCAGGUGCAGAGCUUUCAGGUCCCCUCCUGUGCUCGAUGUGGAGGCCCCCUGAAACCAGAUGUAGUUUUCUUCGGGGACACAGUGAACCCCGACAAGGUUGACUUCGUGCAUAGGCGCGUCAAAGAAGCCGACUCUCUCUUGGUGGUGGGAUCGUCCUUACAGGUGUACUCCGGUUACAGGUUUAUCCUCACUGCCCGGGAGAAGAAGUUACCGAUCGCAAUACUGAACAUUGGGCCCACUCGGUCAGAUAACUUGGCAUGUCUGAAACUGGAUUCUCGUUGUGGGGAGUUGCUGCCUUUAAUAGACCCACGCUGACCACAGCCUAUGUUCCUGAGCCAGAAGCUGACACUUCUGCUUGUAUCCUGCUGCUAAAGAUCCCUGAGCAUUCAUCCCUUCUUUUUUUAACUAAUGGAAGCUCACUGAGUGCAGCCUGUAGAGGGCAGCAAACCAACAUCUCGCUACCAGCCACUCUGAACUGGGCAGGUUUCAGAGCCAAGGAGUUAAAAUCUUUAGGAGGAUGAGAUUUGCCCCUGAAAAAAGACUUUUUCUAAGCAGCAGCCUCUCCUGAUAGGAAAACUGCGUUCACUUCCUUUUUAUCUCACCAGGCAGAAGAAAUGGCCCGAGAAAUAUGUAGGUCAGAAUGGUCUCUGGAAUACUAACCAACCCAGGGGUUUCACUAAUGUGUAUGUGGGCGUGGGGGGAGGUGGGGAGCAGGGAGUAAUGCAAGAAGGAAAUGACUUAAUUUAUAAUUCUAAAUGGUUAAAUGUCUUUAACUGAACCAUUCUGGUAUAUUCUUUUGAAAAGAUGAACUAUGCUAUGAAUGAAUUUUUUAUUAACCAAGGAAUAAAGGAAUCAUUUUUAAAAUA